rnacentral:rRNA from 1 species
UACGUAGGGUGCAAGCGUUGUCCGGAAUUAUUGGGCGUAAAGAGCUCGUAGGCGGUCUGUUACGUCUGCUGUGAAAACCCGGGGCUUAACCCCGAGCCUGCAGUGGAUACGGGCAGACUAGAGGUAGGUAGGGGAGAAUGGAAUUCCCGGUGUAGCGGUGAAAUGCGCAGAUAUCGGGAGGAACACCGGUGGCGAAGGCGGUUCUCUGGGCCUUACCUGACGCUGAGGAGCGAAAGCGUGGGGAGCGAACAGGAU